rnacentral:lncRNA from 1 species
GAGCUCUGUUCUUGAGACGCGAGUCUGCCGAAACUCCCAGGCGAAUAAAGCCAAAUCCUUCCUUAACCUGGUGUCUGAGGGGUUUUGUCCACGGCUCAUCCUGCUACCUUUCUUAGUUCCCUGACCGGGAAAUCGGGUGACUGAUGGACGGUGGAGGCAGCCCCUUAGGCAGUUUAGGCCUGCCCUGUGAAGUAUCCCUGUGGGCGGCUCUGGCCAGCUUGAGUGACGCAGAUCCUGAGAGCGCUCCUGGGUAGGUAUUUGCCCCGGUGGGAUGCCUUAUCAGAGUGGUGCAUGGCAGGCCCCCGUGGAGGAUCAACGCAGUGGCUGAACACUGGGAAGGAACUGGCACUUGGAGUCUGGACAACUGGAAUACGGUGAUCGGGUAUGGAUCACGGAUUGGAACAUAGCCUCCUUGCAGCCACGGUGGAGAGGACCCCAGACCAUCGUCUUGACCACUCCCACAGCCAUAAAGGUAGAAGGAAUCCCAGCCUGGAUUCACCACAGCCAUGUAAAACCUAAAGCAUCUGAGACCUGGGAGGUGAGACCAAGCUUGGACAACCCAUGCAAGAUGACUUUGAAGAAGAUGACAAGCCCUGCUCCAGUCACACCUGGAAGCUGACUGGUCCGUGCAUGGCUGAAGCAUGAGGAAACUCAUCGUGGGACUCAUUUUCCUAAAAUUUUGGACUUGUACAGUAAGGACUUCAACUGACCUUCCUCAGACUGAGGUAGGGCAAAAAGUUAAAACAGACUUUCUGUUUAAAAGGGACUUGUGUGUAUAAUGCUACCCAGUACAAGAUAUGCAGCCCAAGAAGUGACCAGCUUGAUGUGUGCUAUAACCCAUUGGAACUAGUUUAUCCCUGUUGGAAAACAGAGUAUGUAACUCUAGGAAUUGAUGGAACUGGACUGGAAGACCUGGGUAGUGAAGAUGACAGUGAGAACUCCCACUAGUGAGUGAGAUUCUCAAAGGGGGGAAUGAGAAGUGAGGCCAUUUCUCUUACUGUCUCCUGUCUCUGAAGAGGAGGAGGAAGUAAAAGUUGAAAAACAACAGGAAUGAAGUCAUUGGCAAGACCAGCCGGUGCCACUGAUGACCAGGCCUGAGGUUAAAAGAUCAACCCCCCACUCUAACCACAUGUGCUCUCAAUCUAUCAUGACCCUUUCAUGUGGACCCCCUUAGAGUUGUAAGCCCUUAAAAGGGCCAGGAACUCUGUCUUCAGGGAGCUCGGUUCUUGAGACAUGAGUCUGCCAAAGCUCCCAGCUGUUGAGAUGCGAGUCUGCCAAAGCUCCUGGCCGAAUAAAGCCAAAUCCUUCCUUAA